AGAGUUUGAUCCUGGCUCAGGACGAACGCUGGCGGCGUGCUUAACACAUGCAAGUCGAACGAUGAAGCUGGAGCUUGCUCCGGCGGAUUAGUGGCGAACGGGUGAGUAACACGUGAGCAAUCUGCCCUUGACUCUGGGAUAACUGCGGGAAACUGUAGCUAAUACCGGAUACUUUCCUCGCUGGGCAUCCAGCGGGGAAGAAAGAAUUUCGGUCAAGGAUGAGCUCGCGGCCUAUCAGCUAGUUGGUGAGGUAAUGGCUCACCAAGGCGACGACGGGUAGCCGGCCUGAGAGGGUGACCGGCCACACUGGAACUGAGACACGGUCCAGACUCCUACGGGAGGCAGCAGUGGGGAAUAUUGCACAAUGGGCGAAAGCCUGAUCCAGCAAUGCCGCGUGAGUGUAGAAGGCCUUCGGGUUGUAAAGCUCUUUCGGACGGGACGAAAUGGCAUCCGCUAAUACCGGG
rnacentral:rRNA from 1 species